AUUGAAAUUAGUAGAUAAAAGAAUUGUCAUAACUCAAAAGCAAGAAAAAGGGUAACCUAGUUCCCUUUCUCUCUCAACUUUCAGCCGCCGAAGAAGAAGAAAAAUUUCAGAUCAAGGCUGGAUCUUGGUGGCUUGUCUAGCACCGGAUCUGGCCUCCCCCGCUUUGUUUUUCUCUAGCUUUGUUGUUUUUGCUCUCGAUCUAUCUAUCCCAGUGUUUCAGUGAUGAAGAGUUUUGAUUGGCUGAUACAGCGGGUCUUCACGGCAAGAUUUGCAAGGUUGCUCGGUGGUAGGCUUCUCCAGAGAGAGUCGUUGUUGGGACUUCGACUUCAGUAGUGUGGUCGGAUCCUCUGCUCUUGUAAAAUCCGAAGAAGGCUUUGGUUUCCCUUGGAAAAUUGAGUAUGUUCUUUGUGGAUCUGUGACCGUUGGUUUCCUUUUGUCUUCUGAUCUGGUGUUGAGGAAGCGGUUUGAGCGGCCUUUAUAUGUGAGGGUUUCUGAUUACAGCAAAGAUGAUGAUGUCGGAUCAGUUAGAUCGACGGAUAGCUCGAAGAAUAAUGCCAUUGUGGUUUGUUGUUUCCUGUCCCAGGUCUCAAAGCCGGUUUUGUGCUUGUCAUUGCUUCAAUGCGCCAUGUGGAGUGGAUGUGGGUUCUUAUCCAGCCAUUGCCUUUUCCUCUCGAUCUUUGUCUCACUGUAUCAGCUAGCGGUUCGCUUUUGGUUCAUUCCCUUCUUACGCAGAGGCUCAGUUUUUGUUUCAAGAUGUUUUAGUUCUCUAAGUUUGCAGGCCUCUUCUCCUUGGUGUUGUUCGCUGUGGUUGUUAGCAGCCUCGAGUUAUCGCCUUCCUCGCUCUUGAGUUUGGUGAUAACCGAGGGCUUAGAGUUUGCUCCUUAUCUUGCUUUCCAGAUCUGUUUAGAUUGGUGGCAUUUUGAAGGAUUCUAGCUAGAUGUGAAUUGGCGCAUCAGACGUCGUCGUCACAUCCAGAAGUAUGUUAGAGUUUUCUCUUAGUGGUUUUACUUGUUGGGUUAUGAAGUCCUUGGGUCAGAGAGAUCAUCUUUCAUCAUGAUAGGAGAUUGUAGAUGUUAUCUUUGGAUUGGCCGUGGACACCUAUGAUAAAUCUCUUUCACAGGAGCUUCGGGAGAAGAUGUGUUCUUUGCUUUCUUAGGUCUAGGGUAUCUCCUAGGGUUCUAGUCAAUUGGUUUCUGUUCUUUUUGUAAGGGUUUGUCCUUCUUUGUAUGGUUUAAAAAUCUUUAUUAGUUUGUUUUUAGUUUCCUUUCUAUAGGGCUUUGACUCCGAAGACA